UUUUUUCUUUUUUUUUUUUUUUUGAGACGGAGUCUUUGCUCUGUCGCCCAGGCUGGAGUGCAGUGGCGCCAACUCGGCUCACUACAAGCUCCGGCUCUGGCUUUUCUUUAACCCAUUUUCUCUCUGCUUUCCUCCAACUGCCAGCUGAAUGGAUCAGGCAAGUCCAUCCCAUCCUGAGAGCCCCAGGUCCCCCUUCAACCUCUAAACAGAUCCUCCUCUUCUGGGAGGCCUCCCUUUCCAAGCCUGCCUGGGCGGGUGUCCUGUGACUUGACAGUGGCUCCCCAGCCCAAAGCCAGCCCCCUUCAUCUGUGACUUAGUCUGUUGUAGUGCUGAGCUGACACAUCCAGGUGUGACCAUUGCUGAAAACUUGUGCCCCUCUGUGGUACGCCCUGCCCUGUUCUAUAAAUAGCUCUAAAUACUCAUAUAUAUAUAUACACAUCUACACGUGGCCGACCGCCUCACCUCUAGCACUGGGAAUCAGUCACCGUGCUGUCCUGGUGGAGUCUUGUGGCCCAACAAGAGAAAGCUGUCCCUUGACAUUGCCCUUCCAAAGAGCGCCACCUCCAGUGAGCCUCCCUGUCAUGCCCGGCCUGUGGACAGCCAGCCUCCACCAUCCCUCCCACCCCCCACCAAGCAUGGGGGUGCUGUGCAGGCAGCUGUGUGGGCUGACAGUGUCUACCAGUUCUGCUGUCCCUCAGCUGAGAAUCAGAUCCAUUUCUGGAUGACAGGGAAUGUGUCCUCUGCUGGCUGUUCUCUGUGGAGCUCAGGGAGGGAAAAGGCCAAGCCAUUUCUAGGGUGCUGUUGGGAGUGGUGAAAAGGCCACACCCUUUCCAAGGGACACUUCCUGGAAAGCCCCUGGAGCUUAGCUGGCUCUUAUCCUGUGAAGCUGGCUGUGGCCACUAGGGGGCAGGGCCAUGAACUCAGCCUGGAGGAGCCUGCGGGGCACCUGUCACUCUGGAGGGACAGACAGAACAGGCCACCCAGUGCAGAUAGGCCAGAGAGGCAGGGAGGCCGAAGGGAAGAUGCCUGGGGUGGAUGGAAGUCAGUGUCCUUGGGUGCUGGUAUCUGCCUUCCUGGCCACCGCUAGAUCAGGCUUCUGAGCCUGUUGGCUGUCAGGGCCUCACUGUGCCCCAUAGGUGCCAUGGCAGCCCCCAUGAAAUCCAUCAGGUGUCACCAGGCAGCAUACAGGUAACAGGCCUGGAAGGUUCCCAACAGCUGAGCUGGACAUGCUCAGACACUCUGGGGCUCCUCGUUCAGUGGCACAAACUCCAGCACCCAGUGAGGGAAACGGGAACCCACCAGGCUGAGCAGUAUGGCUAAAUCCAUUUAUUCCAUAAUGAAAAGCAAAAUAAACAGGAGUCGCAUCACCAGGGAGCCACAACCCCAUCCCGACCUCCUUCCUCUGUCCUGUGCUAUCAAUAAAUAAGUUUCCCAGCCAUCAAUAAUGAUUAGAACCUCCUCCUCAUAUGCCAGCUCCAACCUCCACUAGGUACGAUACAGGGGGCAGCCCUACCCCCCGGAAUAUACAAAAUGUUACACAGAUACUAUAUGUACACUGGGGAAGGGGGGUCACCCCAGCAGCCCGUGCCCUCGCCUGCUCUACAGUUAGCCCCACUGUCCCGCCUCAGCUGCCUCUCUGAAUAAGAAGAUGCGAGGCCCCCUGAGGGAAAAGUUGCUUUGGUGAGAGUAGGGAGGUCAUCAGGCCUCCUCCAAACAAACCAGCUCCACCAGCCUCUGGCUCUUCAAUAACAAACAUCACC
rnacentral:lncRNA from 1 species